UCUUGCCAAUAGAGGCUUCAUAUAGGAGCA
rnacentral:piRNA from 1 species